AACGAACGCUGGCGGCAUGCCUAACACAUGCAAGUCGAACGAGACCUUCGGGUCUAGUGGCGCACGGGUGCGUCACGCGUGGGAACCUGCCCUCAGGGUCGGACUAACUCCCCGACAGGGGUGCUAACACCGGAUCAUGUCUUCGGCCCAAGGAUUUAUUGCGUUUGGUGGGUCCCGCGUUGGAUUAGCUAGUUAGUAGGCUAAAAGCCUACCAAGGCGACCAUUCAUAGCUGGUUUGAGAGAAUGGUCAGCCACACUGGGAGUGAGACACGGCCCAGACUCUUACGGGAGGCGGCAGUGGGGGAUAGUGGACAAUGGGCGAAAGCAUGAUCCAGCAAGGCCGCGUAAGUGAUGAAGGCCUGAAAGUUGUAAAGCUCAUUUACCCGGGAUGAUAAUGACAGUACCGAGAGAAUAAGCUCCGGCUAACUCCGUG
rnacentral:rRNA from 1 species